AUUGAACGCUGGCGGCAGGCUUAACACAUGCAAGUCGAACGAGAACGGAUAUUAGCUUGCUAAUAUCGUCAGCUAAGUGGCGCACGGGUGAGUAAUAUAUAGUUAAUCUGCCCCAAAGAAGAGAAUAAUUGUUGGAAACGACUUGUAAUGCUCUAUAUGCCUUUAUCACAUAAGUGGGCAAGGGAAAUAUUUAUAGCUUUGGGAUGAGACUGUACGGUAUCAGUUUGUUGGUGAGGUAAUGGCUCACCAAGACUAUGACGCCUAACUGGUUUGAGAGGAUGAUCAGUCACACUGGAACUGAGACACGGUCCAG
rnacentral:rRNA from 1 species